rnacentral:rRNA from 1 species
UAUGUGGCAUACGGCUCAGUAACACGUAGUCAACAUGCCCAGGGGACGUGGAUAACCUCGGGAAACUGAGGAUAAACCGCGAUAGGUCAUCACUUCUGGAAUGGGUAAUGACUUAAAUCUACAUGGCCCCUGGAUUGGACUGCGGCCGAUCAGGCUGUUGGUGAGGUAAUGGCCCACCAAACCUGUAACCGGUACGGGCUCUGAGAGGAGGAGCCCGGAGAUGGGCACUGAGACAAGGGCCCAGGCCCUAUGGGGCGCAGCAGGCGCGAAACCUCUGCAAUAGGCGAAAGCUUGACAGGGUUACUCUGAGUGAUUUCCGUUAAGGAGAUCUUUUGGCACCUCUAAAAAUGGUGCAGAAUAAGGGGUGGGCAAGUCUGGUGUCAGCCGCCGCGGUAAUACCAGCACCCCGAGUGGUCGGGACGUUUAUUGGGCCUAAAGCAUCCGUAGCCGGUUCUACAAGUCUUCCGUUAAAUCCACCUGCUUAACAGAUGGGCUGCGGAAGAUACUAUAGAGCUAGGAGGCGGGAGAGGCAAGCGGUACUCGAUGGGUAGGGGUAAAAUCCGUUGAUCCAUUGAAGACCACCAGUGGCGAAGGCGGCUUGCCAGAACGCGCUCGACGGUGAGGGAUGAAAGCUGGGGGAGCAAACCGGAUUAGAUACCCGGGUAGUCCCAGCUGUAAACGAUGCAGACUCGGUGAUGAGUUGGCUUAUUGCUAACUCAGUGCCGCAGGGAAGCCGUUAAGUUUGCCGCCUGGGGAGUACGGUCGCAAGACUGAAACUUAAAGGAAUUGGCGGGGGAGCACCACAAGGGGUGAAGCCUGCGGUUCAAUUGGAUUCAACGCCGGG